AUAGUUAUGUACCCCUGUAGUCUCAGCUAGUGUGGAAGCGGGAGGAUCGCUUGAGCCCAGGAGUUCUGGGCUGUAGUAUGCCCUGCUGAUCAGGUGUCUGCACGAAGUUUGGUAUCAAUAUGGUGACCUCCCUGGAGCAGAGGACCACCAGAGUGCCUAAAGAGAGGUGAACUAGCCCAAUCCAGAAAGUGAGGUGAGCAGGUCAAAACUUUCAUCUGAUCAGUAGGGGGAUCACAUCUGUGAACAGCCGCUGUUCUCCAACUUGGGCAAAAUAGCAAGACCCUGUCUCA
rnacentral:SRP_RNA from 1 species